UACGGAGGGGGCGAGCGUUAUUCGGAAUCAUUGGGCGUAAAGGGCGCGUAGGCGGCUCGGCAAGUCUGGUGUGAAAUCUCCACGGCUCACCCGGGAGAGGUCACUGGAAACUGCUGAGCUCGAGGUCCGGAGAGGCCGGUGGAAUUCCCGGUGUAGCGGUGGAAUGCGUAGAUAUCGGGAAGAACACCAGUGGCGAAGGCGGCCGGCUGGACGGCACCUGACGCUGAGGCGCGAAAGUGUGGGGAGCAAACGGG
rnacentral:rRNA from 1 species